GACGAACGCUGGCGGCGUGCUUAACACAUGCAAGUCGAACGGAAAGGCCCUGCUUUUGUGGGGUGCUCGAGUGGCGAACGGGUGAGUAACACGUGAGUAACCUGCCCUUGACUUUGGGAUAACUUCAGGAAACUGGGGCUAAUACCGGAUAGGAGCUCCUGCUGCAUGGUGGGGGUUGGAAAGUUUCGGCGGCUGGGGAUGGACUCGCGGCUUAUCAGCUUGUUGGUGGGGUAGUGGCUUACCAAGGCUUUGACGGGUAGCCGGCCUGAGAGGGUGACCGGCCACAUUGGGACUGAGAUACGGCCCAGACUCCUACGGGAGGCAGCAGUGGGGAAUAUUGCACAAUGGGCGGAAGCCUGAUGCAGCAACGCCGCGUGCGGGAUGACGGCCUUCGGGUUGUAAACCGCUUUCGCCUGUGACGAAGCGUGAGUGACGGUAAUGGGUAAAGAGGCACCGGCUAACUACGUG
rnacentral:rRNA from 1 species